UCUGAAGGGGCACAAGUACCUAUGAGGACAUUUGCAUAUCUAAAAAAACAUGGCCGCCAUUGGCCAAACAAAUUUAAGCACCUAUUUGAAAGGGUUAACGGAUGUUGAUCGGAACGAAACUCGCUGGGUACGUUCGACUCAUGAACCUUAAGGUCUGUAAGAAUUUUGAAAGAAAUCGGCCACUAGUUGGCGCUAACGAGUUUUAUGGCUCUGUAAUCACGUGGUGUUUCACAUAUCAACACAAUAUGCAUAUCAUUUGAUAGAUCUCCUCGUAAUGCACAACUUUGCCUCAAGAACCAUUGCUGUCAAUCAAAUCGUUCAAUUGUUAUUCACAAAUAUGUUAAAAACCUACUUUUGCGAACUAGUCCUAGGUUUUUUGCCCGAUCGGAACCAAACCACUGCAGUAAUAUUCUGUGGACUCUCUAGAUCAAUAAUUAUUAAAAAAAUGUUGAAUUUUGUCCUUUGGUUAGCUGUAACGGGGUAAUUUAGAAAAAGGGGUGUGGCCAAACAUACCCCAAAGCCUAUAAAACCUAAAGGAAAACUCAAAACUUUAUGAAACUCAGUGAAAUCAUGUAACAGGUGACUCUUAACAAGCAUGCAAAGUUUCAUGGAGAUCAGACCAUAGGUGGCGCUAUAACAGUAGAAAAGGUCUCAAAACACAAGAUUUAUAUGGUAAAUGGCCUCAAAUUGUUUGAAAAUGUUCAUAUAUUCAUUCAAAAACACUAAAUCUUCAUAUCAUAUGAUAAAUCUCCUCAUUCUGAACAACUUUGCCUCUGGGACCAAUGUUGUCAAUAAAGCUGUUAAUUAAAUAUUCAAGAUUAUUUUAAAAAGUUACUUUGGCAUACUUGUGAUACGGUUUAAGAUGAAAAUCAAUAAAACCACUGAAGUACAAUUCUCUAGACUCUGAAGGUCAAUAAUUAUCAAAAACAUGUUGAACAAUUGCAUUUGGGCAACUAUAAACCAAUAAUUUUAUAAUAUGUUAUUUGCAUAGUGUACACAAAGGCCUAUUUAUACAAACAGAAAGCCCACAAAUUAUCAAAACUGUGUAAAAUAAUGCAUGAUUUCAUUCUAAACAAGCAUGCAAAAUUUAAGAGAGAUUGGGCAAAAAAAAAUUACAACACUAUAACAGUUAUGUU